ensembl:lncRNA
AAACAAAAGCCCCAAAACCAAACCUGUAAUAUGUUCUCGCCAUUCCAGGACAUCCGGAGGUACUUGGACGGAUAUCCUCUGUAUUGCACUGCUUUCAUGCACAGGUUCACAUGGCUGUAGUAAAGCAUUACAAAGACAUUGGGGUUGAUCAGAACUUAACACAGCAAACAAAAGACGUUUUCAUUAAAAAAAAGCAUACAAUAGAAAACAAAAACAAAACAACAUGCUUUACAUAGCACUCACCAACGUGUCAGCUAGCUCAAAUGUUGUGAGGGCUCUUUUUAAUCACAAUCUCUGUGUCAGAGUCAGAAAUGUCAGACACUUUUCCAGCUGAAACAAUUAAAGUUAGCUUGAUUGGUGUCAGUUAAAAGACAAACAUUUAAAAAGAAGUCAACUCCAGAAGAAAGUGAUGAAUGGAAAACUGGUUUGAAGCACUGCACCAGAAACACUUGGAGUUGUAGAUGCAUAAAAAAAACUUCUCUUCUCAACUCCUUGCAGUAAUUUGAACAUGAAUACAGACAACACCAUGGGAAACUAUUUUUAAACCUAUUUACGUACGUUUCAGAGGUGAAACAUCAAGCCACAGAAAUAAAUGGAUACCUUCUUCAAAGUCCGUCUUUGGGCAGAUAAAAAUUGUGAUCCUUGAAUAUGGUUUGCCUAAUUCUGCUUUAUAUUUUUCUAGAAUAAAAGGUCUUUGUGUCCCAGGGGUAUUGAUCACUUCAGAUGCAUCUGGAUACAGAAGGAUGAAGGCUCCUUCACCCAGGUUUUGGUUGAAGUCCCUCAUUUUCUUCACACUGUGAUGAAGAAGACUUUGAGCGGUGAUGUCAGAGACGGUUGAUAGGGCAAUGGUUGUCCCACGUGAGGGCUUUAAAACACCCUUCUGAGCAGUCAUCAAGCCAAGAUUAAUCUUGAGAAGAGAAAAGCGAAAUAAACCUGAAACUUGUAAACCAACGGCGUCAAAAUGAGGACGCAAUGCACCGUAGGGACGCUUUGGAGAGAACAACCAAUAAUUUAAAACAGCAAAUCCAGGGCUUCAAUGAAGAACUCACGUCCAGAGAAUCUUUGGCACCGCAACUGAAAUGCCAGGUGACUGUUCUGGAGGAGCAGCGGCGACAGUUGAUUAAGGUCAGCACGGAGGCCACCAACGAGCUCAAGCUACUCAGUGAAAAAGACUGGAAGGCUGGCUAUGACGCACAGAGGGAACAAAAAGACGCCCUGGAGCUGAGGAAAAAUGAAUGGAAAGAGAAUAUCCUCAGUCUAAUGAACAGUGUCAAAGAUCUUGACGCCUGUAAGGCAAACUACGAAUCAUUGAAGACUGAUAUAAAAGUUGCAACCAGACUGAAUAAAACUCUCAAAAAGCAACACAAGACCCUGGAAAACAAGAUCUCAAUAGAGCGGAAGUAUGUGGAAAAAAACAACACGAUAAAGUCAGAGAGCGAAACCCUGAUGGGUGAAAACUGCACUCUUCAGUGUCAGGUUGAGGAACUGCAGAGAAACCUUCAGAGAACGCAAGCUUUGACUCGAGAGACCGCUAGAGAAGCACCUCUGAAGGAGCGCAACGAGGCAAUAAGGGCUAAGGGAAUUGGACUUUGUCACGGGGCAAGUACCCUCCACGUCGCAUGUAGAAAGGGUGCACCAGAAAAAGUGUUGGUAUGAACCCUCGCCGGUCCCGAACCAGACACCCUUACCACCCUUAGGGCUGGCGCAUGCUUCUGCGUCUGAGUCUGCGUGGUCGCGUCAAUGCGCUCGUUUCAAAUCAUGGAUCUAAAAGGCUUGCGUGUGUUGCAGAGCAGUUCACCGCGAGAACAACAGGUGGAGUAAUGUGUUUCGGUUGAAGACGACCUAGAGCAGGGGUCUCAAACUCGCGGCCCGCGGCCAAUUGCGGCCCUCGGGACGAUAUUUUGUGGCCCCCGCCUUCAUAUGAAAGUGUAAUGUUAGUGCGGCCCGCGAGUUCUAUAUUGUAGCAACCUCGCUGUUAGCAGCCACUUACAACCUCCACCCCAGCGCCGACCGUUCCGUUCGCCGGUCGGACCGUCAGUGUCAUCCCCCCCGUCGGCCAUAAUGGUCUGGCCCUAUGGCGUUAUAUUUGUGACACAAUCCUGAGCGCGUAAUUGUAAGUUUUGAGCACAGAGAACUAUGUUGUAGCAAAGAAAAACAUUCCGUGCGCGCAGUUUACUCAGGUGCCGUCUCCACAAACUGGUUUUCUGCGCGCAGGCAGCCGUUGCUGCGCUCUCUCCACCUCUUCACGCUGCGCUCGCUCGACUUGCAGCAGCGUUACAUUUGUGCCACAAAACCAACCAAUCAGAGAAUUAAAGAAGGUCCAUUGUGAUUGGCUGUUGGUCUC